UCCUGUGGAACUUACUAGUGUAAGAACCUAUGAUGACAAGCAAAAGAUUCCAAAACAUAUAUUACUUCAAUUAAUUGAGGAGAGGGAUAGAAAUUAAACCACAAGGAAAAGAUGCUCGAUAUGAUUCCUAUCGAUUUCUUGAGGGAAAAUAUUGAGAAGUGAAUCUAAAACAUCACUAUUUAUAUGGUUUCUUAUCUUCCUUUCGUUUAAUCGCUCAUCAAUUAAACCACUCAUAAGUUGAAGAACCUUAGUAAAAUGAUUUGUCAUGUGUCGCCUUCUACCUUGUGGAUCAAUUUUCCUGAGAAAGGGGAAAUAGUCUACUAAAUUGGGUUCACCAGCCUCAACCAUGAUGUUCCACACCAAAUCCUUAAAUUCCUUAGCAGAAUCAGAGAAUGGAUCAGUUAAAUCUUUUGAGAAAAUGGUGUUGGACAACAGAUUUAAGGUAGUUCUAAAUGCUGCUCUUCCAAUAUUUACUGCUUCACAAUUUUGCCCACUCUUAUGACAGUAGUCAAUCAGCUGCUGGACCUUUUCAGAUCUUAGAUGCUUACCAACAUCAAGAUUGUGACCUGAGAUCACAGAAAAUUACGGGAUAAGGCACAAAUAACCUAGACUAUGAUCGAAAUCUCAAAGAUACUCAUAACUAUACUAAAGUCUUAUUAACCUCUUGAACUUUUAUUUUUGUAAUUUUGAACAUCUUUUGUCUUACGUGGCACACUCCGUGACUCCACACAGUUGAGGCGCGUGGAAAAUAUUUGGAUGCAACAUAAGCAAAAAAGAUGAACAAAAUUACAAAAAAGUGGGUUCAAGGAUAAUAGGACCUUAGUUUAGUUAAGGUGUGUUUCUGAGAUUUCGAUCAUUGUCUAGGGGAUACUUGUGCAUUUUCCCCCAAAAUUAAUCUACUUGUUAGUACUCUUUUUUUUUAAAAAAAAAAAACUUCGUGAAAAGUAAUAUAAAUCACAAUUUAAAGUAUUUAUUUACGUGAGAAGAUGUGAGAGUUCAUAAUCUUUCGAAAUGUUCUCCAUUGAGAGUUGACAGGUAACCAAACAACAGAGAAAUCAGACUGAUUGCAAGCAUAGAGUGCAUCAGAAACAGAUCUGCUGGAAAAGCUCAAAUCUUGCUUUUGCAUGACUUGUUUAGCCAAGACUGAUGAGGAAAUGACUACUGUAUUUAUUUGCCCCAAUUUUAGAUUCAUAAUUGGACCAUAUUUUAUCGCGAGUUGAGUAAGUGAUAUGUGAGGUUUGUCACCAAGCAAAUGAAGAUUUCCAAUGAUAGGCAAAGGAAAGGGACCUGGUGCAACUCUUUUGCUUCUUCUAAGUGAACAAAUAACAACUCCAUACACCAAAAAAUAAGCAAAUUAUACUCCUAUCAAAAUGUUGUAGUCCAUUUUGCUCUAUAUUUUCUUGACUUAUGAACUAGCUAGCUAUGAAAUUAAUAUAUUUAUUGGUUUUAAUAGGAUUCUUUGUUAGGUCUUGGAAGCAAUACCUCGCUUUCCAAUUCCUAUCGUAUUAGGAAAAGGUCCUUCUCAAUGCUCUUAACUUCCAUACUAAUAUGAAAAGUUGUGUUAAAGGUCCAAGUACUAAAAGUGUGUAACUCUUUUAUGAUGCAUCAAUAUCACUAUCUAAUUUGUACCUAAUUUUUUUAAUUUUUGAACAUUUUAGACAUGCAACUAACUUCAGCCAAAAACGUUACUAGGCUGAUGUUCACACAAGAAUACCCAAUUUCUAAUUAUGAGGUAUCUUAUUUGGAUAUCACUAUUUAAUAUGUAUCUAUUUUGUAACAAUUUUUUUUUUUGAAAAUUGUAGGCAUGCAGCUAAUUUCAGAUAUAGAUGUCAGAAGUUAUAUAUGACUGAAGUUCACGCCAAAAUACUUUAUUUUUUUUAUAUGAUUUAUCUUAUUAUUCUCUUUGUCCCUAUUUAGUUGUCCACUUUAGAAUAGACACAAAUAUUAAAAUAACAAUAUUAACAUAGUAAAGUUACAGUCUUACCCUUAUUAAUUAUGGUUUCAAAAAGGAUGAAUUAAAAAUUUUCAAGAAGUUUUGGAUAAUGGAGAAAUUUUUUUUGUCCUUUCUUAAUUUGUCAAAAUGGACAAGUAAAUAGGGACAUGUAAAAGAGAAAAUAUGAACAAAUAAAUAGUAACAUAGAAAGUAUUGGAUAUCACUAUUCAAUUUCUGCCUAUCUUUUUUUUUGUAGUGGUUUUGCAAAUUUUAAACAUGCAAUUAAUUUCAGACACAAAUAUCAAAAGUUAGAUAUGACUAAAGUUCACACAAAAAUAAAGGAUUUUUUAAGGUAUCUUACUUGGAUAUCACUGAUUCUUUAUGAGGUAUAUUAUUUGGAUAUCAUUAAAAUUAAAAGAUUCACUUCUUCGCAACUUUAUACUUCAAUUGUUGUACUAUAAAUUCGAGAAAUAUUGUUGUGCAAUUAUAUGCUAUGAAGAAGUGAUGGAGAAGGAUGAACACAUCUUUAUGUUUGACAUUUGUCAGUUUUCGUCUGAUGUUUGCUAAAAUUGAAUACAAGUUUAUUUUUAAAUGGAAGAAAUAUAUAUACCGGAAUUAUUAUAAAUAUAUAAAUAUCCUCCCUUAUAUUUUUAUGAAUAUCAAUAUCUUUGUCGUCUAAAAACUAGAAUAUAUAUAAUUUUUAUAUUAAUGGAUAUACACGUGUCAUAAUUUCAUCGAUCAAUUCGAUAUUUAUUAAAUAUUAGAUCGACGGAUAAGAUUGCGUCACAUGUCUCCAUUUAAUUUUUCAUUAGAGUGAAUGACAUAUAUGCUCUAGUUUUUUUACGGCAUGGGCACUUAUUUCUUAAAGAUAUGACGGAGAGUAUUUGCAUAUACUAUUUCAAUAGUUUAAAAUUAUAUUUGUCAUUUUUUAAAAAAAAUGAGGUACAACUUAGAACUUGUUUGAUAUUGUUGUUUGGAUGUUAAAAAACACUUCUUUUUUUUAAAGAAUCAAUUGUUUGGCAAGUCUUUAAAAUUGAUUUUAAAUGGAAGCACAAGCAAUUAUUGUGUUGGUGUGAAAGAAGCGAAAAGUUUUUAAUUUUUAAAAGAGAAAAUGCAUAAGUAUUCCCUUAAUCUAAGUCCGAAAUUUUAGAGACACAUUUAUACUAUACUAAGGUCCUAUUAUCCAUUAAUUUGUUUUAUAAGUAAUUUUGUACUUUUUCGGCCUACGUGACACUACCUUGAAAAAAAGUUCAACCAGCGUUGGACCCACAAAAUAGUAUCACUUAGAUCGAAAAGGACUAAAAAAUUAUUAAUAAAAUAAGUCUAGGGGAAAUGAUAGGACCUUAGUAUAGUAUACGUGUGUAUCUGAGAUUUCGGGCAUAGAUUGAGGGGAUACUUGUGCAUUAUUCCUUUUUAAAAGAAUCAAGAAAAAAUUAUUAUUUGCAUUAUUCCUUUUUAAAAUAAUAAAAAAAAUUAAUUUUUUAAGACUAAAAUAUCUAUUACUCAUUUUUAUAUAAUAGUUUUAUUAUUGUUUUACGUUUAUAUAUUAUUAUUUAUGUAUUAUUUUACAAAAUUAGAAGUAAAGAUGAUAACAAUAUUUUUGAAGCAUUAAAAGAAAGAGAAAAAGUAAAAAUUCUAGAUUUCAACCCUCCCAAAAAGUAUCAAAUAACAAUUUUUUUCUUAAUUUACAUAUUAUUUUAAUUUUAUUAUGAUUUUUUUAAAAAAAAACUUUAGUGUAUUAAACAUGAUAACUAAGGUUCAAAUCUAAAAAAGAUAUUGGUAAAAAAUAACAAAAUUCUUCUUUUCAAUAUUUUUCAACCAUACUUUAGCAAAUAUUUUAAGAGAAUAACAAUUACGGAUUUCAGCUCCCCUAGAAAGGUAACAAAUAUUUUUUGUUCCUUUUUAUGGUUUACAUAUUAUUUUCUAGAAAAACACUUGCUUUUUUCGUGAUUAGACUUUAAAAAUUAAAAUAAUUAAUUAAUUAUAUUUUAAGAAAAUAAAUUAGUCAAACACAAAUUGUUUAUCAAAAGCACAUUACAAAUGAAUUUGCCCAACAUAUUGUUUUUUAAAAAAUAAAAGCGCUUAUGGAAAUAAAUAAUUUUAAUGCUAAUAUCAAACAUACUCUUAAUUUAAACUCACUUGAUUUAAGCAAACUUCAUAGACAAAAUUCAAAACCCCCUUCUUCGAAGCAUUGCAGUUUAAUUGAUACAGAUUCAAAAACACUAUUAUUAUAAAAGAAAAAGGAAGAGACGACAUCGAGCUUUCGUAUGAUAUUUUUCAAAAUAUGGAAAGUUUUUAGAAAUACAACAUAAAUAGUAGCGACCACAUUGAGCAGCCGAGAGGAUUUUAUGAUAUUUUUCAAAAUAUGGAACAAGCUUUUAAAAAAAUACAACACAAAUAGUAGCUCGAGAGGAUGAUAAGCUACACUGGAACUAAGACACAGCCCAGACUCCUACAGGAGGCAAUAGUGGGGAGUUUUCCGCAAUUGGGCAAAAGCCUGAUGGAGCAUUGCAGCAUGGAGGUAAAAGGCUAAUGGGGCGUGAACUUCUUUUUUCGAAGAAAAAACAAUGACAGUAUCAGGAGAAUAAGCAUUGAUUAACUUUGUGCCUACAGACUCGGCAAAUAUGUUGAGAAUAAUGUCAAGGAAAAUAACUUGCCCGGUAAUUUCCAGGCUGAAGACUAUUUUGAGAAAUGUUUCAAUUCUUUGAGAGGAGUAUGGGAAUACCUCUCAACUUGACUCAAAUUAUUAGUUUUAUUCCCAAAUAAUUGACAAUUUUAGUUAAUAGGUACAACUUCAAUUUGUAGUAUGACAUAACAAGUGGUAUCAAACGCUUGUAGGAACAUGAGAGUCUUAAUAAAAAGCAAAAGGUUGAAAAUAUCCCUAAACUUGACGAGAAUUUAGAAAUGUGUUUCACUCAUGUUGUGAUAAGGAUGUAUUUAAAUUCAAUUAGUCAAGUGAAUGAGUUUUUUUUAGACUACGAAUAAUUCAGGAAUGAAACUAAUAAUUUACAUAGAAUUUAGAGGUAUUUUCAAUAGUUCUUAAACGUUUAAUAACAUCAAGAUUGUGACUUCCAUAAAAUUAAUCUACUUUUUAGUAUAUGCUCAUUUAGAAUUACGUAUAUAUUUGGGACAAUCUAUAGAGAUCAAUUCAGAAUUUGAGUUCGUAGGUUUCUGCCAAUCUCAAAUUAUUGUAUAAUGACUGGACCUUGGAGAGCCCGAUAGGAAAUCGAAAUAGUUGUGGAAGGGGGCGGAAGAUACUUUAUUAUAUACGAGGAACUCACGAAAAUAAACAAAAAUUAAAAUUGACUAAAAUAAAGGCCUACUUGGUGACCCACUCUUGAUCAAGAGAUAGAAAAUUAAAGGCGCGAGUCAUUUUUCUUAUAUAUUUAUAAAUUUUCUAAUACAAAUAUAGAAUUCAUGCAAAAGAUAUUGGUUCCCUAGAACGCCUAUCCAAUUACCUAAAUCUUCCCCUGAUAAUCUAAACUAAUCUUUCUAUUCAUUUUAAUUUGGUAAAAGAAAAAGAAUAACAAAUUUUUAAAAUUCGAAGAUAAUUAAACCUUAGCUUUUCAUUUUUAUCAAGUUUUUCUAUCCACACAAACAUUAUGAAAUAUUUAAGAACAAAAAUUUAAAAAAUCUUGUAGCCGUAUGAAAAUUAUGGCAUAUUUAAUUAAUAUCAAACGUUUUGACAAUAUCUCUUACUUUAUUUAUGUUAAGCAAAAUUACCCCACAUAAAUUUAAACAAGAGCAUAAUAAUUAAGAGAAUCAAAUAAAAUUUCAUUAUAAACAAUCCAAAAAAAAAGAUAGAGGUCGACUAUAAAAAAAAAAAAUUAAUAAUCAAUAACCAUAUAACAGAUGCCCAAUCAUUUUCGUCUGCUGUUAGUGGCAACAAUGAAUAAAUCAAUCUAAAUUUUAGUGCUCCACUUUUUUUGAAAAGGAAAAAACUUAAAUAUGUCAUUAAAUUUUUAAUUUUUUUUUUAUGUUAUUAGUUAAUAGUUUAAUUCAUUUAUGUCAUUGUUAUUGAGAAAAAGAUUUAUUUAUGUCAUCAAUAGAGACUUCAGAGAUAUUUAGAAAACAUUAGUUCAUGAGUCUUGUUCAUUUCAGUUGUUAUGUUCUAUAUUUGAGUUGUCGUUUUGGCUAUUGAAUGUUUCUUUAAAUAUUCCGAGUUAGCUAUUUUGAAUUAAGGCUUUACCUUUAAAGUUUUCUUAUUGUUGAGUAAGUCUUUCGCUAAGAGUUAAGUCAGGCCAAGGGUUCGCUUGGGGCUUGCAAUGAUUUUCGAGUGUCGGCUACGUUCAAAGUAUAGACUCGGGGCUUGACAUAACCUAACAAUAUCAUAUAACUCAAGCAACCCCAAAUUAAUUGAAGAUUCUAAAACUCCACAUAAAAACGUCUUCCUUUAAUAUAUAAAUAAUAUCUUUUAUACGUAUAGUGAAUAUAAUUGAAGACUAAAAAUAUUAUCUUUGUCUCAUUUCUCUCUUUCAGUAUUACAUACUACAAUAUAUUUUCGCACAACACAUUUCAUCUCCGACACAAAGGAAAAUGCAUCACUAUUUAAAGGUGAAGAAGUCUUCCAUGUAAUCAAUGUGUAGAAUCUGCGUAGAUAAAUGUGAUAGAUAUUAUAUACGUUAUGGGAAAAAGUACAAGUACCCCUUAGACUAUGACAGAAAUUUCAGACACACAUCUUAACUAAAUUAAGGUCCUAUUACUCCCUUAAACCCAUUUUUUUUGUAAUUUUGUGCACCUUUUUAGCUUAUGUGACAUCAAAUAUCUCUCACGCGCCUCAAUUGUGUGGAGUCACAGAGUGUAUCACGUAAGACAAAAGAUGUACAAAAUUACAAAAGAAAUAAGUUCAGGAGUCCGGAUCCUAAACGAUAUAAAAUGUUAACAAAAAUUCCAAAACGGUAUAUGAAAUUUUAUAUUAACCAAAAUAAAAAAAUCGUUGGAAUAGCAGCGAUUUCUCCGUCGGGAAAAGCAAAAUCGCUGCUACAGCAGCGACUUUUCAAAAUGCGAUUUUUUAAAAAAAAAUUGAAAAAAUCGCUGCCUAGGUUGCAAUUUUGUUGCAAUUUUUUUAAAAAAUUAAAUCGGUGCGAAAGUAGCAAUUUUAAGAAUUUUUUAAUAAAGCGCUCCGGUCUGAGCAAUUUACCUUUUUUUUUAAAUUUAGUUAAAUCGCUAUUUUUUUAUUUAAUUACAUUAAAUCGCUGCACGUGUAGGGACUUUCCAAAUUUUUUUAAUAAAAAAAAUUAAUUAAAUCGCUGCACUGAGAGCGAUUUCCAUAAUUUUUCAUUUUAUUUUUUAAAAUCGCUCAUAAAAAUAAUCCUAUUUAUUUGUGUGUGGUAAAAUUUUUGCAAAAUAUUUUUUUUGAUUUUCUCCAAUUUUGAAAUCUAUUUAAUUUUUUUAUUAAAGUAGGCAGGGUACCAUUUUAAAAAAUAAAUAGAUUAAAAAAAUUGGAGAAAAUCGAAAAAAAAUUUGCAAAAAAUUUACUACAAAACAUAAGCAGGAUUUAUUUUAUGAGCGAUUUUAAAAAUAAAAUUAAAAAAAAUAAGGAUAUAUCUGCCAGUGCAGUGAUUUAAAUAUUUUUUUCUAAAAAAAUUGGAAAUCGCUGCGAUUUAACUAUUUUUUUCUUAAAAUCAAGGCAUCGAUUUAAUUUUAAAAAAAUUUGGGACAAAAUUUAAGCAGCGAUUUUUUUAAUUUCUUUUUUAAAAAAUCACAUUUUCCAAAAAAAAAUUCGGCAGAGAAAAUCACUACAAUUCCAACGAUUUUGCCGUUUUGGUUAAUAUGAAAUUUCAUAUAUCGCUUGAAACUUUUGUUAACAUUUUAUACCCUUUAGGCUCCGGACACAUAAGUUUAGGGGUAGAAGGACCUAAUUUAGUUAAGGUGUGUGUCUCCGAAAUUUCGUUCGCAGUCUAGGGGGUAUUUGUUUCUUAUCGCUAUAAGUUAUAAGAAACUAAUGGUCACAUGAGUUAGAAGAAACUAAUAACCAUGAGAGUUACAAAAACUAUUUUUCAUAUAAGUUACAAGAACUAACAGUCAUCUUUUAUCACAAUUUAUAUUAUUAAUAAAAUGCUACAUCAACAAUAACUACUACUGUGUAAAUCGUUGGGAGACUAAGGUAUGAUAACAGAUUGAGUCUUUAAACUCUUAGCUUUGUAUAAUGAUAAUAAUAUUAUGAUGUUACAUAAAUACCUUUUUUAUAUGUCAUAUAAGAUAUUUUUUAUUUAUUUGUGAAUAUUGAGACUACGCUGGCAUAGGCAACAACACUACAUAGUUUACAAAGAAACAGUGUCAUUAUUGUAUUCUUAGUUUGGUAACUUAAAAUCUUAAGUUUAUCCCAAGAUCUAAAGUGGAAUAGGGAUAGCUAACAGAGGUUGAGCUUUUGCCACCGUAUACCAAACUUUUCCUCCAUGUCCAAAUCUUUAGGUGCAAUCCCACCAUACAACUUCCAAUCAAAGGUAUUUAGAAUUGAAUUAACCUAAACCUGCUGGAGCCAUCCUGAUAGCCAAAGACAAUCCGGGGCAUAUUCUUCAACAAGCAUCAAAAGGAAUUAGUUCAAAAUCUGGAUCUCUAAUAUCCAUAUCUGACUCCCAAAACCUCUCUGGCUUAACGUCCAAAGGGUCUUCCCAUAGGCUAGCGUCGUGCCCUAUUUCCCAUACGUUCACAAGAACUUGUGAGUCUUUUGAAAUAAUAUAGCCAGAUAACUCAACAUCUUCCUCUGCUUUGCGUGGAAUUAAGAAAGGAGAUUGUGGGUGUAUUCGAAUGGUUUCUUUCACAAUGCACCUCAAGUAAGGUAAUUCUGUAACAUCAGCUUCAUCUAUUAGUUUGCCUUUGACAAUCACUUGUGCAAGUUCUUCUUGUGCUUUCUCUAAAAUGUGCAGAUUCUUGAGUAGUUCAGCCAUUGCCCACUCGAAUGUAUUUGAUGUCGCAUCAGUCCCUGCUACAAACAAGUCCUAUGGAACUUACUAGUAUAAGAUCCUAUGAUGUCAAUGUCAUAUAACAUCAAGUGACAGAUUCCAAAACAUAUUUUGCGAAUUUAAAUAAAUAAAAAUGAAAUGUAAUUGAGAAUUGGAGAAAGAGGAAUAGAAAAUAAACUAAAAUCAGAUGUUUGAUAUGAUUCCUAUCGAUUUCUUGAGGGCAAAUGUUGAGAAGAGAAUCUAAAAAAUUAACAUUUUUUAGUUUCCAAGUUUCCUUUCAUUUAUCCGCUCAUCAAUUAAACCACUCAUAAGUUGAAUAAUCUUUGUAAAAUGAUAUAUCAGGCGUCGCCUUCUACCUUGUGGAUCAAUUUUC
rnacentral:lncRNA from 1 species